CCCUGGUUAGCGCAGUUGGUAGAGCGCUCCACCUGUAAUGGCGAGGUCCCGGGUCCGACACCCGGACCAGGCG
rnacentral:tRNA from 1 species